AUGGGGAGAGCGGGGGAUAUUCUCAUCAUCGCGUGUCUCGAUGAGCGGAAAUGUCAUAGCUAGUAGAUGGGGUAGAAGGGCACCAAGUCGACGAUGGGUAGAAGGUCUGAGAGGUUGAUCAGCCACAUUUGGCAUGAGAGCCGCCCAGACUCUCCCGGGUGGCACCGGAGGCGACAAUUGUGAAUAAUGGGCAAAGUUAUAAAGAGACCCAGCGACGCCGCGUGACCGAUGAAGGCCUUCGGGUUGUAAAGCUCUAUAGUCUGGGAAGAAGGACUGUCGGCACCGCAUAAAAGCCCCGGCUAAUUUCGUCCCCGCAGCCGCGGUAAGACGUAGGGGGCGAGCGUUAUCCGGAUGUACUGGGUGUAAAGGGCGCGUAGGCGGCCUUUAAAGUCAGGUGUAAAAUCCCCGGGCUCAACCCGGGGAUCGCACUUGAAACUGGGCGUCUAGAGGGCAGGAGAGGGGAGUGGAAUUCCCGGUGUAGCGGUGAAAUGUGUAGAUCUCGGGAGGAAUACCAGUGGAGAAGGCGUCUCUCUGGCCUGACCCUGACGGUGAGGCGCGAAAGCGUGGGGCGCAAACAGGAUUAGAUCCCCUGGUUGUCCACGCCGUAAACGAUGGGUACUAGGUGUGGGGCAGGAAGCAUUCCGUGCCGUAGCACCAGUG
rnacentral:rRNA from 1 species